UACGUAGGUGGCAAGCGUUGUCCGGAAUCAUUGGGCGUAAAGAGCGUGUAGGCGGCCCGGUAAGUCCGCUGUAAAAAGUCAAAAGGCUCAACCUUUGAAUGUCAGUGGAUACUGCCGGGCUAGAGUCCGGAAGAGGCGAGUGGAACUCCUGGUGUAGCGGUGGAAUGCGCAGAUAUCAGGAAGAACACCAACGGCGAAGGCAGCUCGCUGGGACGUCACUGACGCUGGAGACGCGAAAGCGUGGGGGGCAAACAGG
rnacentral:rRNA from 1 species